rnacentral:tRNA from 1 species
CUUACAAAGCAGAUGUCGGCGGUUCGAAACCGUCCGCGCCCA